AGAGUUUGAUCCUGGCUCAGAACGAACGCUGGCGGCAGGCCUCAAACAUGCAAGUCUAGGGGGUGUAGCAAUACAUCACCGGCGGACGGGUGCGUAACACGUGGGAAUAUACCUUUUGGUUCGGAACAACGCAGGGAAACUUGCGCUAAUACCGAAUGUGCCCUUACGGGGAAAGAUUUAUCGCCAAAGGAUUAGCCCGCGUCCGAUUAGCUAGUUGGUGAGGUAAUGGCUCACCAAGGCUCCGAUCGGUAGCUGUUCUGAGAGGAAGAUCAGCCACACUGGGACUGAGACACGGCCCAGACUCCUACGGGAGGCAGCAGUUGGGAAUCUUGGACAAUGGGGGAAACCCUGAUCCAGCCAUGCCGCGUGAGUGAUGAAGGCCUUCGGGUUGUAAAACUCUUUCGACGGGGACGAUAAUGACGGUACCCGUAGAAGAAGCUCCGGCUAACUUCGUGCCAGCAGCCGCGGCAAUACGAAGGGGGCUAGCGUUGUUCGGAAUUACUGGGCGUAAAGCGCGCGCAGGCGGUCUUCCAAGUCAGUGGUGAAAGCCCGGAGCUCAACUCCGGAACUGCCAUUGAAACUGUAAGACUUGAGGAUGAGAGAGGUGAGUGGAAUUCCCAGUGUAGAGGUGAAAUUCGUAGAUAUUGGGAAGAACACCGGUGGCGAAGGCGGCUCACUGGCUCAUAUCUGACGCUCAGGCGCGACAGCGUGGGGAUCAAACAGGAUUAGAUACCCUAGUAGUCC
rnacentral:rRNA from 1 species